GACGAACGCUGGCGGCGUGCUUAACACAUGCAAGUCGAACGGUGAAAGCGGAGCUUGCUCCGCUGGAUCAGUGGCGAACGGGUGAGUAACACGUGGGCAACCUGCCCCUCACUUCGGGAUAACUCCGGGAAACCGGGGCUAAUACCGGAUAUGACCUCCUUGGGCAUCCUUGGAGGUGGAAAGUUUUUCGGUGAGGGAUGGGCCCGCAGCCUAUCAGCUUGUUGGUGAGGUAGUGGCUCACCAAGGCGACGACGGGUAGCCGGCCUGAGAGGGCGACCUGCCACACUGGGACUGAGACACGGCCCAGACUCCUACGGGAGGCAGCAGUGGGGAAUAUUGCGCAAUGGGCGAAAGCCUGACGCAGCAACGCCGCGUGCGGGAUGACGGCCUUCGGGUUGUAAACCGCUUUCAGCAGGGAAGAAGCCGCAAGGUGACGGUACCUGCAGAAGAAGCCACGGCUAACUACGUGCCAGCCGCCGCGGUAA
rnacentral:rRNA from 1 species